rnacentral:rRNA from 1 species
CCUACGGGUGGCAGCAGUGGGGAAUAUUGGGCAAUGGAGGAAACUCUGACCCAGCAACGCCGCGUGAAUGAUGAAGGUCUUCGGAUUGUAAAGUUCUUUUCUCAGGGAAGAAGAAAGUGACGGUACCUUAGGAAUAAGCCUCGGCUAACUACGUGCCAGCAGCCGCGGUAAUACGUAGGAGGCAAGCGUUAUCCGGAAUGACUGGGCGUACAGGGUGCGUAGGUGGUGUGAUAAGUUAGUAGGGAAACUACGAGGCUCAAACUCGGCACUGCUACCAAGACUGUCAGACUUGAGUGCAGGAGGGGCAAGUGGAAUUCGUGGUGUAGCGGUGGAAUGCGUAGAUAUUAGGAGGAACACCGGUGGCGAAGGCGGGUUGCUGGACUGUAACUGACACUGAGGCACGAAAGCGUGGGGAGCAAACAGGAUUAGAUACCCCGGUAGUC